rnacentral:rRNA from 1 species
GUGGUGUUGCACCAAUAAUAUGGUGGAGUGCUUGAAUCCGUCAUCAGCGUCAACUAUCAAAGUUAGACACUGGUCACCAGUCAUGCACUGCCUCCCAUUCAGAACAUAGUGAGGAUAAGCAGGCCAGACACGAAGUCUGCGGCAGUGGCCAUGAGGGCGACGAUCGGGUGCCCAUGGUGCAGCGCCGAGCUACAGAACACUCCCACGACCUUGCCGCAUCCAGCGGAGAGGGAGCACCGGUAGCAGCUUGUAGGGAUAGACGUGCUCGUGGCCGGGGAUCACCCGGGAAAGCGUUGGUUGGAGGUGCCUGCCGCUUCAGUUGCUUAUAGGAAGGAAUGUACAUGACAAACUUGCUACCGCUGAAGAAUCAUAUGAAUCAACCUAUGUGUUUUCAAGACGUAUGAAACACACGAAAAGACUGAGCCUUCACGUGAAGUUUGCAG